GCAGGGGUGGCUGAGCCUGGUCAAAAGCGCAGGUUUUCACUGUGCGACACUUAAGAUCCUGUCUCUUAGCGAGUUCGAGGGUUCAAAUCCCUCCCCCUGCA
rnacentral:tRNA from 1 species